rnacentral:rRNA from 1 species
GAUGAACGCUGGCGGCGUGCCUAAUACAUGCAAGUCGAGCGAACAGACGAGGAGCUUGCUCCUCUGACGUUAGCGGCGGACGGGUGAGUAACACGUGGAUAACCUACCUAUAAGACUGGGAUAACUUCGGGAAACCGGAGCUAAUACCGGAUAACAUGUUGAACCGCAUGGUUCAACAGUGAAAGACGGUCUUGCUGUCACUUAUAGAUGGAUCCGCGCCGCAUUAGCUAGUUGGUAAGGUAACGGCUUACCAAGGCAACGAUGCGUAGCCGACCUGAGAGGGUGAUCGGCCACACUGGAACUGAGACACGGUCCAGACUCCUACGAGAGGCAGCAGUAGGGAAGCUUACGCAAUGGGCGAAAGCCUGACGGAGCAACGCCGCGUGAGUGAAGAAGGUCUUCGGAUCGUAAAACUCUGUUAUUAGGGAAGAACAAAUGUGUAAGUAACUAUGCACAUCUUGACGGUACCUAAUCAGAAAGCCACGGCUAACUACGUG